rnacentral:rRNA from 1 species
UACGAAGGGUGCAAGCGUUACUCGGAAUUACUGGGCGUAAAGCGUGCGUAGGUGGUUCGUUAAGUCUGAUGUGAAAGCCCCGGGCUCAACCUGGGAACUGCAUUGGAUACUGGCGAUCUGGAGUGCGGUAGAGGGGUGCGGAAUUCCCGGUGUAGCAGUGAAAUGCGUAGAUAUCGGGAGGAACAUCCGUGGCGAAGGCGGCACCCUGGACCAGCACUGACACUGAGGCACGAAAGCGUGGGGAGCAAACAGG